CCCCCUUGGGGCGGGCCUGUUUUUGGAACAUUCAAAACAUCUUGAGCAGAUUAAAAAUAAUUAACAAACUUAUUAGAGCUCUCAUGCAAGCAUUGUACAUAUAGUAAUCAGGUAAGCUGUCGAUCCCUAAUAGCUUUUCACAGAAAUCUUUCAUAGCCUUAUAUCAGUAAUGAUCAUAUUGUAGUGCCAUUCUUGCUUGUCGUGCAAAAAUAGAUUAAUCAAGCUUGUCAUUUCGCCGUCAUCUUCAAAAUGAGGUCAUUGAACUCGAGUUCUACAAAUUUGCCAGUCUGAUUUGGUUCCGAGACAGUGAUGCCAUGGCGAAUUUAACUUGGUGUAUAUCCAUUUGUAAGAGAGCAGGUGAGAGGAUGAAACAUCGCGCCCAACAUUUCCUCAUCUCAGCGUUGCUGACCGAGGUGGUGGCCGGGUGGAUUUUCGAGACCUCCGGGCCGGGGGCUAAGGAGAUCAUCGACGUGGCCUUCUGGAACAACCGGGCGUUCCUCUGCAUGUCGGACAAGAUGGCGCCGCCGAAGCCGGACAAAAAUGGGACCGACGCUAAUGUGGUGAGCAAGGCGCCGCCGCGGAAAAUCAACUACCUCGGCUCGGCUAUAUUCGAGGCGCCUUGGCCGGAGGACGCCACCCAGAGCUGGGGACUCAAGGCCCUCAAAAUCGAAGCCCAGGAGCUUGAAAGUGAGUGUAUGAAGUUGAAGGCGGCGGUAGCAAUCGACAUCGAUGCGAGAGGUCGGAUGUUUACACUGCUCCUAGGAUCCAAAAAUUGUCAUCCCAGGAUUGCUGUCAUCGACUUAGUUGUAAACCGACAGGUUUCGCGGACGGAACUAACCAACGCUCCGAGGCUAACUUUGCGCUCUCUCGUGGUGGACUAUCUUAACUCGGACACGCGGGUUUACAUCGGAGGCGUCACCGACAAUCUUCUGAUCGUGUACAGCUUCAAGGAGGAACUUUGGUGGAGGGUUAAACUGGAGUCCACCGGAGCCGCGCUGCCGCCCUCUCCCCCCGUUCCCACGGCACACCUCGCCCUCGCCAAAAGAGAGGGCCUUCUCUACAUGACGUCAUCCAAUAGCCAGUUCUUAUUUUCUAUGAGCUUGGAGCAACUUGGUGACAUCGACAGAGCUGAUGGCAAAUCCGAGUGCUCGCAGAACCGGACCCUAAGUCCAAAGCUGGUUGGCGAGAAGCUGGGGAAAUCAGCGGGGUUGAUGUCGGACUCGCGGGGCGGUCUCAUCUACUCUUUGCUCCGGGACUACGCCGUUGUCAGGUGGAACACACAUGCACCCCUCGUCGCCGAAAACCACGAGGUCCUCAUCCAGUCCGCCGACCUCCUCCCCGACGUUCGCCAGAUCUUCAAGGACUCCCAGAAGAACGUCUGGGCCCUCAACGGGCUCAGGAACGAGGAAGGCUCUUACUGCACCCGAAUCCUCAAGCUAAACUGAGCCACCCAGUCUGAAAAUUUUCUACUUUUUUUUGCGUUGGAUUUUUUAAUUUUAAUAAUAAGAUUAGGUAAUUUACCAAUUUCUUUGUUCUAUUCGACUCUACAUCAUGGAGGAAAACGAAUCGUUGAGCUUACAAUGCUCAUGGUGCAUUCCAGGUUCUUUCUACUUUUCUAGAAUUUACUUUUUGAAGGUUGUAAUGAACAUUAUUCCUUAGCAUCUUCAUUGUAGCGUCUUCUUAAACUAAAUUUAAUUUAGAACAGCUGUAUAUAUAUUUAUAUUUAUUUUAAUAAUUAUAAAUUUAAAUAUAAAUUUAUUUUAUAGUUUAAAAGUUAGAAUUGUCUUCAAAUCUGAAAAUUAACAAUUAUUAAAAUUAAUUAAAUUAAAAAAAAAUUAAAAAUUUAAUUAAAAAUUAAAUUAAAAAUUAUUAAAUUAAUUAAUUAACAAUUAUUUUUUUUUCUGUAAUCUGAAAUUUAACACAACUAGAAAAACAUUUAGAAUUUGGAAUUAGAGCAAUCUACUACAAGAGUUUAUUUAAAUUCCAGCUAAUUAGGUGCCAGCAGUUGCGGCUAAACCUGAAGUUAACUAACCAUGUGUCUAGAUGAAUUAUAUCGAUUUAAAAAUAUAUCAAUAAAAUAAAUCGUAAAUAAGUAAAAAUUUUAAAAUUUAAAAGAUCUCAUCAAUAAAAUUUAAAUUUCUGUUAAAGAGUAAAAAUUCUGUUUAAAUUUCUGUUCUAGUGAAGAGUAAUUGUGAACACAUUUAUGUGUAAAAAUGGAAGAUCACCACGAAGGAGGCUCUAUACUGGUUACGUCGAAGCGAAACUGAAGCGCCUUCAAUUUUCAAGUAUGCAAUUUUGAUGUCCGUUGAACACGAAUAGUUGCAUCAAUGCGCCUAGAUUAACACCGCGCCUUAAUUCUGCCCAAAACACGCCGCAUGAACAUUUGACUGUUGCAAAAUUUCCUCUAUUAGAGUGUUUAUUUCGACUGCAAUAUUAUCGGGGCCGAAAGUAUGAUUACCACAAAAGAAACAUUGUAACUACGUUUAGUAAAGUGAAUUGGCCUUGGCAUCCACUAUGAGAAUUAAUUGCAACAAAACCAAUGCUUUUUUUCAACGAGAAUCUUUCGCGUGUGGGGUAUUGUUCGGAAAGAAU
rnacentral:lncRNA from 1 species